UACGUAGGGGGCAAGCGUUGUCCGGAAUCAUUGGGCGUAAAGAGCGUGUAGGCGGUCCGGUCAGUCGGUUGUGAAAGUCAAGGGCUCAACCCUUGAAUGCCGGCCGAUACUGCCGGGCUAGAGUCCGGAAGAGGUGAGUGGAAUUCCUGGUGUAGCGGUGAAAUGCGCAGAUAUCGGGAGGAACACCUAUGGCGAAGGCAGCUCGCUGGGACGUUACUGACGCUGAGACGCGAAAGCGUGGGGAGCAAACAGG
rnacentral:rRNA from 1 species